rnacentral:ncRNA from 1 species
GGAUAACCAAUGAUGGAGCAUAGUAAUUAAGACCAAACAUGAAAAGAGAGGAAAUGCCCUGGGCUGAAAGCAUUUCUACAUGAUACUUAAUGAAUGAACACUCCGUAGGCUUCUCUCUGAAAAAGGUAACGGUAGUCGGAAUAAUUCCGCCUCUGCUGGAAAACUUAUUUCCAACUUUAUUAGGAGCAGAACGUAAGCAGGCGUUAACUGUAAAAGAGGAAGUGCAUGAAAUUAAUGCCUUCAACUAGGGUGGCACCGCGGGAAUCUAACUCCCGUCCCUUGU